ACGACUGUAGCUCAGUUGGUUAGAGCACUACCUUGACAUGGUAGGGGUCGGUGGUUCGAAUCCACUCAGUCGUA
rfam:Pseudoalteromonas marina DSM 17587 strain mano4 contig024, whole genome shotgun sequence.